GGCGAAGUAGCUCAGUUGGCUAGAGCACGCGGUUCAUACCUGCGGUGUCGAGGGUUCGAAUCCCCCCUUCGCUA
rnacentral:tRNA from 1 species